CCUACGGGGGACAGCAGUGAGGAAUAUUGGUCAAUGGCCGGAAGGCUGAACCAGCCAAGCCGCGUGAAGGACGAAGGUGCCAAGCAUUGUAAACUUCUUUUGUCAAGGGAAAAAAUCAGGCUCGAGAGCCUGACCGAGGGUACUAGAAGAAAAAGCAUCGGCUAAAUCCGUGCAAGCAGCCGCGGUAAUACGGAGGAUGCGAGCGUUAUCGGGAUGUAUUGGGGUUAAUGGGUGCGUAGGAGGGCUGUUCAGUCAGAGGUAAAAGCCGGGGGCCCAACCCCGGCGAGCCGUUGAAACUGGGUGUCUUGAGAUGUCGAGAGGUAUGCGGAAUGCGCAGUGUAGCGGUGAAAUGCUUAGAUAUUGCGCAGAACUCCGAUUGCGAAGGCAGCAUACCGGCGGCGAUCUGACGCUGAGGCACGAAAGCGUGGGUAUCGAACAGGAUUAGAUACCCCUGUAGUC
rnacentral:rRNA from 1 species